rnacentral:rRNA from 1 species
GACGAACGCUGGCGGCGUGCCUAAUACAUGCCAGUAGAACGCUGAAGGAGGAGCUUGCUUCUCCGGAUGAGUUGCGAACGGGUGAGUAACGCGUAGGUAACCUGCCUGGUAGCGGGGGAUAACUAUUGGAAACGAUAGCUAAUACCGCAUAAGAGUAGAUGUCGCAUGACAUUUGCUUAAAAGGUGCAACUGCACCACUACCAGAUGGACCUGCGUUGUAUUAGCUAGUUGGUGAGGUAACGGCUCACCAAGGCAACGAUACAUAGCCGACCUGAGAGGGUGAUCGGCCACACUGGGACUGAGACACGGCCCAGACUCCUACGGGAGGCAGCAGUAGGGAAUCUUCGGCAAUGGACGGAAGUCUGACCGAGCAACGCCGCGUGAGUGAAGAAGGGUUUCGGAUCGUAAAGCUCUGUUGUAAGAGAAGAACGAGUGUGAGAGUGGAAAGUUCACACUGUGACGGUAUCUUACCAGAAAGGGACGGCUAACUACGUG